rnacentral:misc_RNA from 1 species
GAAAUGCGAUAAGUAAUGUGAAUUGCAGAAUUCAGUGAAUCAUCGAAUCUUUGAACGCACAUUGCGCCCGCCAGUAUUCUGGCGGGCAUGCCUGUUCGAUCGUCAUUUCAACCAUCAAGCCCCCGGCUUGUGUUGGGGACCUGCGGCUGCCCGCAGGCCCUGAAAAACAGUGGCGGGCUCGCUGUCACACCGAGCGUAGUAGCAUACAUUCUCGCUCAGGGCGUGCUGCGGGUUCCGGCCGUUAAACGACCUUCAUAACCCAAGGUUGACCUCGGAUCAGGUAGGAAGACCCGCUGAACUUAAGC